UAUCUCUGUAGAGUCUGCAUAUCAAUAAGCGGAGGAAAAGAAACUAACUAGGAUUCCCUCAGUAACGGCGAGUGAAGCGGGAAGAGCUCAAAUUUGAAAUCUUCAAGGUUCUACCUUGACGAAUUGUAGUUUAAAGAAGUGUUUUCUGUUGGUAGUUUUGGUAAAAGUUCUUUGGAAUAGGACAUCAUAGAGGGUGAGAAUCCGUAUUUGACCAUUACUUCCAGCUUUGUGAUACACUUUCAAAGAGUCGGAUUGUUUGGGAAUGCAGUCCAAAAUGGGUGGUAAAUUUCAUCUAAAGCUAAAUAUUGGCGAGAGACCGAUAGCGAACAAGUACCGUGAGGGAAAGAUGAAAAGAACUUUGAAAAGAGAGUUAAACAGUACGUGAAAUUGUCAAAAGGGAAGCGUUUGACACCAGUGUUGUUUUCUCGAAAAUCAAUUAAAAAAGGCAGGAUUUUGUGUUGUAUUGACUUUAUCAGCUUUCUGCACUCUUUCUUGUCUUUUUAAUGCACUUUUCGUUUAACAAGUCAACAUCAAUUUCUUUUGUUGUAAAAGGGUCAUUGGAAGGUGGCUUUCUUUUCGGAGAAAGUGUUUAUAGCCUUUGGCCUCUGCAAUCGGAGAGAUUGAGGUCUGCAGCGUAGAUCCUUCGGGGUUAGAUACAUUUGUGCUAAGUUAUAGUCUUUCAUAGACAACUUGUUGACUAUGAUCAGUCAUGUAGCUUACUCGCUUAUGCUAUUUUACCUACGCUUAGGAUGUUGACGAUCAGCUGAGCGCG
rnacentral:rRNA from 1 species